AAACUGUAAAGUUUUGUUACGAGAUCCCCGCUUUCGCGAGGAUUUGGAGGAAAGUCCGAACACCAUAGUGCGGCAUAGUGGCUAACGGCCACCAACCGUGAGGUUAGGAAUAGUGCAACAGAAAGAAUGUACAGGUAAUGCUGUAGUGAAAUCAGGUAAACUCUAUGCGGUGCAAUGCCAUGUAGGUCAACUUUUAAGGGUGGCACGCCCAAUGUUGAUGGGUAGGCAGCUUAGAUAAAUGAUAAGGGUUACGCCCAGGCGUGAUACAGAAUUCGGCUUAUAGAUUCACUCAACUU
rnacentral:RNase_P_RNA from 1 species